rnacentral:misc_RNA from 1 species
GUAGGUGAACCUGCGGAAGGAUCAUUAACACUUUUUUAUUAACAUCCCCACGUUUGCAAAAACAUGGGCUUGUUUUGAAAAACUCCAAUUUAAAUUACGUGAACAGAAAAGAUGGAAAAAAAAAAUGAAAGUUUUUUUUCCCUCCUUCUUUUUCCUCCACCCUCCCUAUUUUUUAAAAAAAACCACAAAAAUAUUUUCUCUUCAAUUCUUUGAUCUGAAACAUAAACAAAAAAAAAACACACCAUGGCCUUAAAAACGCUGUGAGACACUUUUUUUUAUACGAAAUGCUGAACAACUCUUAACAACGGAUAUCUUGGUUCUC